rnacentral:rRNA from 1 species
UACGAAGGGGGGCUAGCGUUGCUCGGAAUCACUGGGCGUAAAGGGUGCGUAGGCGGGUCUUUAAGUCAGGGGUGAAAUCCUGGAGCUCAACUCCAGAACUGCCUUUGAUACUGAAGAUCUUUGAGUUCGGGAGAGGUGAGUGGAACUGCGAGUGUAGAGGUGAAAUUCGUAGAUAUUCGCAAAGAACACCAGUGGCGAAGG